AGACAGCGGGCUCAGUCGGUUAGAGCCUGGUGCUGAUAACACCAAGACCGUGGGUUCAAUUCCUGCUCGGUCCC
rnacentral:tRNA from 1 species